GCAAGUUAUCAGGGUCUGAGGCUCGGGGGCCCAGGGCUGGGGGGAGAGGCGGAAUUUGUCACCAUGGGGGGAUUUGAAGAUACGCACUUCAACCCCAUUACUAACAGGGGCCUGACCCACGUGGCCUCCAGGAAGAGUGGAAUCUACAGGCUUUCUAUAACGUUAGGGGCAACAGAGUAACAACGAAAACCAGGUGGGGCGGCUCAGGAAAUCAGCCCUGGAACAGCCAUUAGGACCUAAGUCGAGUCCAUGCCAGGUGUGCCAGGCAGACCCCUCUGGAGGCCUGUUCUGUUGAUUAGCCUUGAAUCUGAAACUUAAGUCUUCCAGGCGCAUCUGGUGAGAUGGAAAAAAUGGAGAGAACUGGACAGCCCUGGAGAGAAGCUGAGAGCUAAAAAGAGAAGGAGGAGAAAUGUGGACAGAGACAUACACAGAGGGAAGACAACAUGAAGACCCGGGAAAAAGACAGCCAUCCACAAGCCAAGGAGAAA